UUGAUGAGAGAAUGCGUGACCUAAAUCUUUUAUCAAAUUCUCACUUUUGGAGGUGGCCAUAAGAAAAGGAUCCACCAGGAACAGGAAAAACACAAACAAUUCUUGGGCUUCUUAGUGCCAUAUUACAUACCAACUGAGUAUCUAAGUCUCUUAGUAACUUUGUAAGACAUUGAUUACUUGAGGGUAUUUUUAGUAACAUUGUAAGAGAUUGAUUACUUGAGGGUACUUAUGGUAUAUAAUGUUAUAUUCUUUUGUUAA